GCAAACUUGGUCAUUUAGAGGAAGUAAAAGUCGUAACAAGGUUUCCGUAGGUGAACCUGCGGAAGGAUCAUUAUUGAAUGAAUGUAGAGUUGGUUGUCGCUGGCCCUUUCGGGGGCAUGUGCACGCCUUCUCUUUCAUCCACACACACCUGUGCACUUGUGAGACGGAGGACUUUAAUUAGUCUUCCGUCUACUUAAUUACACAAACUCAUUUAAUUUAAUUGAAUGUAAUUGAUGUAACGCAUCAUUAAAACUAAGUUUCAACAACGGAUCUCUUGGCUCUCGCAUCGAUGAAGAACGCAGC
rnacentral:misc_RNA from 1 species